UACGUAGGGUGCAAGCGUUGUCCGGAAUUAUUGGGCGUAAAGAGCUUGUAGGCGGUUUGUCGCGUCUGCUGUGAAAACCCGAGGCUCAACCUCGGGCCUGCAGUGGGUACGGGCAGACUAGAGGGCGGUAGGGGAGAUUGGAAUUCCUGGUGUAGCGGUGGAAUGCGCAGAUAUCAGGAGGAACACCAAUGGCGAAGGCAGAUCUCUGGGCCGUAACUGACGCUGAGGAGCGAAAGCAUGGGGAGCGAACAGG
rnacentral:rRNA from 1 species